AGCCAGCGUCCUUCACCCGUCAGGGCCAGGAGACGGCUACAGCCAUCGCAGAGGAUGGCAUACCGAGGGCUACAGCGGAGCUGAAUCAACACCCGACUCCAGAAGCCGCACUUGUCCCUGUUGCACCCAACCCCGUCAUAUGAGUCGGAGAUGGUGGUCGAGAAACUGAACGAAGAUGGAGCAGGAGGAAGAGAUCAGUUGAUAGGAUCGCCUUUGAACUUAUAUUCCAGAAGUCGCACUUGUCCCUGUUGCACCCAACCCCGUUAUGUGAGUCGUAUAUGACGGUCGAGAAACUGAACGAAGAUGGAGCAGGAGGGAAGAGAUCAGUUGGUACGAUUGCCUCUGAACUUAUGCUAGAAAGCUCGUGGUUCUUCGUCUUGUGUAAAUGUUUUGUAAAUACAUGCGUGCAGCCUUGGCUGACAUGGGAUGUCUUCUGUUUAGGACGAAGAUGGAGCAGGAGGAAGAGAUGAGAU